UACGUAGGGGGCGAGCGUUGUCCGGAUUUAUUGGGCGUAAAGAGCGUGUAGGCGGCCAGGUAGGUCUGCUGUGAAAACUCGAGGCUCAACCUCGAGACGUCGGCGGAAACCAUCUGGCUAGAGUCCGGAAGAGGAGAGUGGAAUUCCUGGUGUAGCGGUGAAAUGCGCAGAUAUCAGGAGGAACACCAGUAGCGAAGGCGGCUCGCUGGGCCAUUCCUGACGCUGAGACGCGAAAGCUAGGGGAGCGAACAGG
rnacentral:rRNA from 1 species